AUGCUGGCUUCAGCAACACAAGUAUUAAAAUUGGAAUGACAAAGAAAAGAUUAGCAUGGCACCUGCACAAGGAAGACACACAACACACAACUCAUGGCAUCCCUGUGU
ensembl:snRNA U6 U6 spliceosomal RNA